rnacentral:rRNA from 1 species
GAUGAACGCUGGCGGCGUGCUUAACACAUGCAAGUCGAACGGAAAGGCUCCUGCUUGCAGGGGUACUCGAGUGGCGAACGGGUGAGUAACACGUGGGUGAUCUGCCCUGCACUUCGGGAUAAGCCUGGGAAACUGGGUCUAAUACCGGAUAGGACGAUGGUUUGGAUGCCAUUGUGGAAAGUUUUUCGGUGUGGGAUGAGCUCGCGGCCUAUCAGCUUGUUGGUGGGGUAAUGGCCUACCAAGGCGUCGACGGGUAGCCGGCCUGAGAGGGUGUACGGCCACAUUGGGACUGAGAUACGGCCCAGACUCCUACGGGAGGCAGCAGUGGGGAAUAUUGCACAAUGGGCGCAGGCCUGAUGCAGCGACGCCGCGUGGGGGAUGACGGCCUUCGGGUUGUAAACUCCUUUCGCUAGGGACGAAGCGCAAGUGACGGUACCUGGAGAAGAAGCACCGGCUAACUACGUG